rnacentral:tRNA from 1 species
GCCUGGGUGGCUCAGUCGGUUAAGUGUCUGACUUCAGCUCAGGUCACGAUCUCGCGGUCCGCGAGUUCGAGCCCCGCGUCGGGCU